AUCAAAUCUCACACAUUCAGUGCCGUUGAAUUGUUGCUGGCUCAAGGUUCUUUGCAAAAGACAAAAGUGGUAAUACAGCGGGUGACAUUUACAGAAUGAUACUGACAGAAAGAAAAGGAGGGGCAGGAGGAGGAGGAAGAAGGAGUAAAUUCCCUGUUCCCCAGUCUGCAGCAGCAGGGAGGAGGUUAACAGUAAUGGUGCUGUGACUUUGGAUUGGAACUGAAGGAAUGGGAGAAAACUACAGCCCACCCCGGCAACGCUUUAGUGGCUCAGGCGCCUCAGGAUCCAUUUCUUCCUGGAGUCCUAACCUUGAUGGGGUCGGAUUUCGGAGGGGACGAGGUAAGACAUCCCGGGAAGAGCGCUCCCGCUGUAUUUCAGCGGUCUCAGUGAAUUGAGCCUUUCCCAACCGAACUCCUGAUCUUGGACCACAUGGAAGAAGUCCAGGGGAUUGGGGAAGCCACCGGCAGACCACAAGAGCCAAUAUAUUGGGCAAAGGUAAGAAACAAUCUUUGCUGGUCUCAAACUCACAAGGUCCGGGGAUCUGACUGGUUAGCCUUGAGCUAGGAACAGAUUUGGAGAUGGGAGGGGCAAAUUCUAAGGUACCUGGAAGAGAGGGAGGAAUC